AGGACGAACGCUGGCGGCGUGCUUAACACAUGCAAGUCGAGCGGAAAGGCCCUUCGGGGUACUCGAGCGGCGAACGGGUGAGUAACACGUGAGCAACCUGCCCUUAGCUUCGGGAUAGCUCCGGGAAACCGGAAUUAAUACCGAAUAUGACUUUGGCUGACAUCAGCAGAAGUGGAAAGUUUUUCGGCUAGGGAUGGACUCGCGGCCUAUCAGCUAGUUGGUGAGGUACGCCCACAGGCGACGACGGGUA
rnacentral:rRNA from 1 species